CGAUCUUGAUCCUGGCUCAGGAUAAACGCUGGCGGCGCACAUAAGACAUGCAAGUCGAACGGACUUAAUCGAUUCUUUUAGAUUCGAAGCGGUUAGUGGCGGACUGGUGAGUAACACGUAAGCAACCUGCCUAUUAGAGGGGAAUAACAGUGAGAAAUCACUGCUAAAACCGCAUAUGCCGUGAACAUCGCAUGAUGAAAACGGGAAAAGAGCAAUCUGCUAAUAGAUGGGCUUGCGUCUGAUUAGCUAGUUGGUGUGGUAAUGGCAUACCAAGGCAACGAUCAGUAGCCGGACUGAGAGGUUGAACGGCCACAUUGGGACUGAGAUACGGCCCAGACUCCUACGGGAGGCAGCAGUCGGGAAUAUUGCGCAAUGGAGGAAACUCUGACGCAGUGACGCCGCGUAUGGGAAGAAGGUUUUCGGAUUGUAAACCAUUUUAGACAAGGAAGAAACAAGACAGUACUUGUAGAAUAAGCUCCGGCUAACUACGUGCCAGCAGCCGCGGUAAUACGUAGGGAGCAAGCGUUAUCCGGAUUUAUUGGGUGUAAAGGGUGCGUAGACGGGAAGGUAAGUUAGUUGUGAAAUCCCUCGGCUCAACUGAGGAACUGCGACUAAAACUGCUUUUCUUGAGUGCUGGAGAGGAAAGUGGAAUUCCUAGUGUAGCGGUGAAAUGCGUAGAUAUUAGGAGGAACACCAGUGGCGAAGGCGACUUUCUGGACAGUAACUGACGUUGAGGCACGAAAGUGUGGGGAGCAAACAGGAUUAGAUACCCUGGUAGUCCACACCGUAAACGAUGGAUACUAGGUGUAGGGGAUAUUAAGUCUUCUGUGCCGUCGCAAACGCAGUAAGUAUCCCACCUGGGGAGUACGGCCGCAAGGUUGAAACUCAAAGGAAUUGACGGGGGCCCGCACAAGCAGUGGAGUAU
rnacentral:rRNA from 1 species